AGUGAACGCUGGCGGUAGGCCUAACACAUGCAAGUCGAACGGCAGCACAGUAAGAGCUUGCUCUUACGGGUGGCGAGUGGCGGACGGGUGAGGAAUACAUCGGAAUCUACUUUUUCGUGGGGGAUAACGUAGGGAAACUUACGCUAAUACCGCAUACGACCUACGGGUGAAAGCAGGGGAUCUUCGGACCUUGCGCGAUUGAAUGAGCCGAUGUCGGAUUAGCUAGUUGGCGGGGUAAAGGCCCACCAAGGCGACGAUCCGUAGCUGGUCUGAGAGGAUGAUCAGCCACACGGGAACGGAAACCCGGUCCAGACUCCUACGAGGGGCAGCAGUGGGGAAUAUUGGACAAUGGGCGCAAGCCUGAUCCAGCCAUACCGCGUGGGUGAAGAAGGCCUUCGGGUUGUAAAGACCUUUUGUUGGGAAAGAAAAGCAGCAGGUUAAUACCCCGCUGUUCUGACGGUACCCAAAGAAUAAGCACCGGCUAACUUCGUG
rnacentral:rRNA from 1 species